UAGGGAAUCUUCGGCAAUGGACGAAAGUCUGACCGAGCAACGCCGCGUGAGUGAAGAAGGUUUUCGGAUCGUAAAACUCUGUUGUUAGAGAAGAACAAGGACGUUAGAAACUGAACGUCCCCUGACGGUAUCUAACCAGAAAGCCACGGCUAACUACGUGCCAGCAGCCGCGGUAAUACGUAGGUGGCAAGCGUUGUCCGGAUUUAUUGGGCGUAAAGCGAGCGCAGGCGGUUUCUUAAGUCUGAUGUGAAAGCCCCCGGCUCAACCGGGGAUGGUCAUUGGAAACUGGGAGACUUGAGUGCAGAAGAGGAGAGUGGAAUUCCAUGUGUAGCGGUGAAAUGCGUAGAUAUAUGGAGGAACACCAGUGGCGAAGGCGGCUCUCUGGUCUGUAACUGACGCUGAGGCUCGAAAGCGUGGGGAGCAAACAGG
rnacentral:rRNA from 1 species